UCUCAGAUCAGAUCGAGCGAAAAAAAAAUUGGAAAAGCGCGCGACUUCGAUCCCGGCCGCUGCCCGGCCGGUGACUUGCCGCCGGCGACCGCCCCGCACCCCGCCCUCCCGUCGCCCGUCGCCCGUCCCGUCGUGCCGCCGUCGACGGUCGACCGGCGCCCAUCGCCGCAUCAGCGCAUCGCGCUGCGAGCGUCCUGCGCCCCGGCCGCCCGGUGACCUCGUGGGGGUGACUCGCCGCCGGCGAGAGCCCUGCGCCCCGCCCGUCGCGCCGUGACACCGUCGACAGUCGACCGUCACCCGUUGCUCCAUCGCGGCUCCACACACAAGCGCUGCGAUUCCCCAUCGCCGCUUCAAGCCCUAGGCCCCUACUUCGCGAUCUGUCGCUGCUUCAGACAAGGACGAUCGUCGGCCUACUGCAGCAAGUACAAGAUUUGGAAAUAUGACUAUCAAAAGUAGAUGGAGGGAGUAUUUGUACCCAAUUCUAGGUGUUAACUGCUGUUAGACACAUCUCAUCUGACCAAGGAGACAUAUCUGCACCAAGGAGACAAAUACAUGAUCUAACAUACAAGGAGAACAUAGGACAUGAAGAUGUACAUUCUAGGACAAGAAGUCUUGGAAAAGCCAGCGCUGGUUCCUUAAGUGCUAUCAAGUUCAGUAAUACCCAAGUUCUAACAACUUCACGGUUCUAGCUUAUGAAAGUGAAGCAUAUUAUUUUCGCUGUAUGGUUUUCUUCACAUGGCUUGCAAAUGCAACAUACCACCAAUAAGAACUGGAAGCUAUACUGUCAAGAUUUUGUACAAAGUGCAAUAUAGACACUUGUGAUUGUGUGAUCAUCAUAUGCUGGAGGAUGAAAACAAAUUGCACUUUACAGUAGCAUCAUGUCAUUCUUGUUGAUUAUAGUUUUGUCCUGUGACUGAGAAAUCAUUGUUGUUAUUAGUUUUUGAUCUUAAAUUUGAUUUCUGUAUUUGAGUUGCAAUCUCAUAUUGGUAUGCUCACAAUUUGUUUGCGAGCGCAUUGUGGAAAAGACCACUAAUUACUAAUGAUGCAAUGAACGCCAUGGAUCUUCUUGCUGGCA